CCUACGGGAGGCAGCAGUGGGGAAUUUUGGACAAUGGGCGCAAGCCUGAUCCAGCAAUGCCGCGUGAGUGAAGAAGGCCUUCGGGUUGUAAAGCUCUUUUGUCAGGGAAGAAACGGUGAGCUCUAAUACAGUUUGCUAAUGACGGUACCUGAAGAAUAAGCACCGGCUAACUACGUGCCAGCAGCCGCGGUAAUACGUAGGGUGCAAGCGUUAAUCGGAAUUACUGGGCGUAAAGCGUGCGCAGGCGGUUUUGUAAGUCUGUCGUGAAAUCCCCGGGCUCAACCUGGGAAUGGCGAUGGAGACUGCAAGGCUAGAGUUUGGCAGAGGGGGGUAGAAUUCCACGUGUAGCAGUGAAAUGCGUAGAUAUGUGGAGGAACACCGAUGGCGAAGGCAGCCCCCUGGGUCAAAACUGACGCUCAUGCACGAAAGCGUGGGGAGCAAACAGGAUUAGAUACCCUGGUAGUCCACGCCCUAAACGAUGUCUACUAGUUGUCGGGUCUUAAUUGACUUGGUAACGCAGCUAACGCGUGAAGUAGACCGCCUGGGGAUAACGGUCGCAAGNUUAAACUUAAAGGAAUUGACGGNNGAGNGNGCGAGACGACGACGAGGAGAGG
rnacentral:rRNA from 1 species